rnacentral:misc_RNA from 1 species
CUGGAAACCGAGAGUUCAGAGACCAGGAACCAAGCGAGACUAGCCAUUCUCGAGCUAGCCAACAUGAUAAGCGUUCCCAUGUCUCUCCAUGCCGUCGUCCGCCUCAACGUCGCCGACGCUAUCUGGCAAGGCGGAACUAACUUGCCGCUUUCUGCCUCAGAAAUACUCGCAGCAGUCCAUCCCUCUGGCGGCGAUCCCGAGAAUCUUCAACGCAUCUUGCGUAUGCUUACCAGCUAUGGCGUGUUUGCGGAGCAUCUUAGUGCCGAUGCUACUGAGAGGAGGUACUCUCUGACGGAGAUCGGAAAAACGCUUGUCACCGACGGUGAGG